rnacentral:rRNA from 1 species
GCCCUUUGGGUCCAACCUCCCACCCGUGUUUAUUUUACCUUGUUGCUUCGGCGGGCCCGCCUUUACUGGCCGCCGGGGGGCUCACGCCCCCGGGCCCGCGCCCGCCGAAGACACCUCCGAACUCUGUCUGAAGAUUGAAGUCUGAGUGAAAAUAUAAAUUAUUUAAAACUUUCAACAACGGAUCUCUUGGUUCCGGCAUCGAUGAAGAACGCAGCGAAAUGCGAUACGUAAUGUGAAUUGCAAAUUCAGUGAAUCAUCGAGUCUUUGAACGCACAUUGCGCCCCCUGGUAUUCCGGGGGGCAUGCCUGUCCGAGCGUCAUUGCUGCCCUCAAGCCCGGCUUGUGUGUUGGGCCCCGUCCUCCGAUUCCGGGGGACGGGCCCGAAAGGCAGCGGCGGCACCGCGUCCGGUCCUCGAGCGUAUGGGGCUUUGUCACCCGCUCUGUAGGCCCGGCCGGCGCUUGCCGAUCAACCCAAAUUUUUAUCCAGGUUGACCUCGGAUCAGGUAGGGAUACCCGCUGAACUUAAGCAUAU